ACGGGUGAGUAACGCGUGGGAACAUACCCAACUCUACGGAAUAACUCAGGGAAACUUGUGCUAAUACCGUAUACGCCCUUCGGGGGAAAGAUUUAUCGGAGUUGGAUUGGCCCGCGUUGGAUUAGCUAGUUGGUGGGGUAAAGGCCUACCAAGGCGACGAUCCAUAGCUGGUCUGAGAGGAUGGUCAGCCACAUUGGGACUGAGACACGGCCCAAACUCCUACGGGAGGCAGCAGUGGGGAAUAUUGGACAAUGGGCGCAAGCCUGAUCCAGCCAUGCCGCGUGUGUGAUGAAGGCCUUAGGGUUGUAAAGCACUUUCACCGGAGAAGAUAAUGACGGUAUCCGGAGAAGAAGCCCCGGCUAACUUCGUGCCAGCAGCCGCGGUAAUACGAAGGGGGCUAGCGUUGUUCGGAAUUACUGGGCGUAAAGCGCACGUAGGCGGAUCGAUCAGUCAGGGGUGAAAUCCCAGAGCUCAACUCUGGAACUGCCUUUGAUACUGUCGGUCUAGAGUAUGGAAGAGGUGAGUGGAAUUCCGAGUGUAGAGGUGAAAUUCGUAGA
rnacentral:rRNA from 1 species